GGUGCAUGUCCGACUCCAGGGUGCUCGUGGAGCUUUCCUGCUGCAGGGCCCGUGAGAGCCCCAGGUGUUUCAGAGGGACGCUGAGGGGAAGGCCGCGUGGCUCCGCGAGAAGGAACACGUCCGUGCCCAUCUCAGGGUUUUGGCAGCAGAGGGAAUUUGCAGGGGAAAGCACUGAUUUAUAAUGAGCUGAUGCGAGUCACCCAAGCUUCAAAUGCUGUUUGAUCCUAAGAGGAGCAACGUUUUUCUUUGGUCUUGGCAGUGUCUCUUGCUUUCAGAUCGUAAAAUAUUUAGUAAUGGUGAGAUUUAAACAGUCAGGGUUGUUAAAACUAUCUUUUAUUUUCAUUUUGUAUGUAACCAAGGUAUUUUUCCAGCUAAAAGAGAAGAAAAAAGGCUGAGGUCAGGUUUUAGUGGUUUUAUCAGUACGAAAAAUCAGAUGUGGUUGUGUUCUCUUGUCAUCAGUGCACGAGGCGUCUGUAUCAGCAGCUCCCGCCCCAGGACAGGGAGGAGGCAGGGAAGGGCAGGCCGAGCCCCACACGCCUGUGAACCCCAGGGGAUCGGUGUCAGAGCGGCCGGAGCGCAGGCUUCUGCUGGAGUGAGGGCUCACCCGGGCCAUGGGAGCGUGGAUCGUGCCCACAAGCAGGUCGCACUGGAGGGUCUGACGGGUUUCGCUCUGUCCAGGGGCUCCAGGUGUGGCACGAGUGACUGAGAUGGGCUGAAGAAGUGACCCCAAAGAGGCACCGCCAGGGGUGCGCGGGAAGCAGCAGUCACUCCCUGGGGGGCUCCUGCCCCUUGUGGGUUUGCGGUGCUGUCAGCAUGUGACCAAGCAGCAGCAGCGCAGCUGGAGACCCGCGCCCAUGGCAGGAGGGUGUGGGUCCUGGUGCACGGCGAGGGGUCUGGCGUGCAUGGUACACGGCGCCAGGGUGGGCGGGGCAGGAGGUGAGUGGGCCCCAGGGCCAUGCCCGACUCCCUUGGGGCAGGCUCUUGGCCACACUUUGACCCGCCCCGGGGCUGCCCCCUUUUCUGAGGUUUGGGAACAACCUGGAGAAACCGUGUGGCCCAUUUUUCCCCCGGGCGCUUCCACACUGGGGCUUCAGACCUAAGCCGACUCAUCCGUCCCGGGAACGUUUAGCCGCCUUCACGG
rnacentral:lncRNA from 1 species